AUGGCUACAAAUAAACAAUAAUAGUAGUUAAAUAGCCGCGGUAACUCUGACCGUGAUAAAGUAGCAUAAUCACUCGUCAUUUAAUUGGUGACUAGAAUGAAUGGUUUUACGAAUUUCCAACUGUCUCAGUAAUAAAAUUAAUGAAAUUAAACCAAUAGUGAAGAUGCUAUUUAUAAAUUGUAAGACGAAAAGACCCUAUCAAGCUUUACUAAACGCUUAAAUAAAUAAAUACUACAAAAUAUUUUAGGACAAAAAUAUUUAAGCUAAUUAGUUUGGUUGGGGCGACCACCUCUAAAAAAGUAUCAGAGGAGAUCUAACGGUUAAUAUUAAUAUAAAAAAGCCUAACUGCAUAUAAAUACAUUAAUCAGUUACAACAAGUAGGAUAUAAUGACCCGUUGGGACUAUCUAAACACCUAACGAUUACAAAAAAAGUUACCGUAGGGAUAACAGGGUAAUAUUCUCGAAGAGUUCUUAUCGAUGAGAAUGUUUGCCACCUCGAUGUUGAAUUAUGAUAUCCUAAAGGUGCAAAAGCUUUUAAGGGUUG
rnacentral:rRNA from 1 species